rnacentral:lncRNA from 1 species
CAUGUACACCCUUAACACCGACCUAGUUGAAUCACUUAGAUAAGCACGCAACCGAACCUGAUCGGUUAUCUUGAAAAGCAGUACCCUCCGAUUUUCAAAGGAGUUGUGCAUGUAGCUGAUGGCGAGUUCUUCCGAUUGACAAUUCAGUCCACAAAAGCUGAUGAUUAAGUUCAUAAAAUCAUCAUACGAAACAUCACUUUGGACUAUCAUAGCUAUCAUCUCUAGCAUUUCACCCUUCUUCCAACGCCAUACAUAUCGAUUACUCUUCUCGACCCAUUGACCAUGACAAUCCACCCCUAUUGUUAUUGAUCCAU